UACAGAGGGUGCGAGCGUUAAUCGGAAUUACUGGGCGUAAAGCGCGCGCGGGCGGUCCCGCAGGUCGCUUGUGAAAGCCCCCGGCUCAACCGGGCGGAUGCGGGCGAAACCGCGGGACUGGAGGGCGAUAGAGGGUGGUGGAAUUCCCGGUGUAGUGGUGAAAUGCGUAGAGAUCGGGAGGAACACCCGCGGCGAAGGCGGCCACCUGGGUCGGCCCUGACGCUGAGGCGCGAAGGCCGGGGGAGCGAACGGG
rnacentral:rRNA from 1 species